CGACGAACCUAGUUUACGAAGUUCGCAAUCGGCUAAUAAUAGACUUGGCUCCUUAGUCUCCGACUCCGCUCAGAACCUCAGUCUCUCUCAUAGCACCAUACCGUGUCAUUUACAAGUUCUAGUGGUUAAGUUAAUUUACUCUGCAAAAUGGCCGAUCUUUCAGACGAGGAUGUCGCAAAGGUAAAAUUCGCGUUCGAAAUCUAUGACGUAGACGGUAUUGGUGCAAUUGACGGCACCAUGUUGGGAGCUCUCCUGAGGGCGCUCAACCUUAACCCAACUGAGGGUUUCAUUGAGAAAUUGGGAGGAACCAAGAAGAAGGGUGAAAAGACAAUCUCAUUAGAAGAAUUCCUGCCAAUCUACAGCCAAGUCAAGAAAGACAAGGACCAAGGAGUGUACGAAGAUUUUAUUGAAUGUUUGAAAUUAUACGACAAGGCAGAAAACGGACUUAUGUCAUACGCUGAAUUACAUCACAUUCUAUUGACCCUUGGUGAGAAAUUAGAAGAGAAAGAAGUCGAUGAAAUCUUCAAGGACUGCAUAGACCCCGAAGAUGAUGAAGGCAUGAUCCCAUAUGUUCCUUUCGUCAAAAGGUUCAUGGCUCUUAAAACAGUUUUUUAAUUUAAUUAACUAAGACCUGUUCCGUACCUUCCAAAACCCGUAAUCAGCUUCCAAGUUGAUUUGUUUCACCAGACAUUCUUGGCGAGAGUAUGUGAAAAGCCCGUUCCAAAAUCAAUUAUUCCUGAAUAAGCUGGAUCUCGACGCCACAAAUUCUACAUUCUGAGCCACUUCAUCUUGUCAACAAACAAAACAGCGAGACAAUGCGUGCCAGCGGAGCCGCUACUACAAAUCUGUACAAAUGUAUGAUCUGAUGUAUCCAAAAAUAUAAUAAUAAGGUUCACACACAUCUUUUUUAAAUAAACUUGUAAAAUAAACAGUUUUCGUCGGGAA